UCAAAUCAAAUCAUAAAGCGUUCUCCGACGUCGGCAAGACAACGAUAGCGUUAGUUAUGAUACGAUGAGGCCCGAACGGGCAAGUGGGUUGUUACAUUGACUUGCCCGACCUGGUGUUUUAUGCUGCGUUCAG